UUCUGGUUUUGUUUUGUUAAAUUUGGCUUCACAGAUAACACACUUUCCUUGUUUUCCUUCCACUUCACUGCCUACUCCUUCACAAUCUCCUCUGCUGACCCUUGAUCACCAUCUUCGUCUCUAAAUGUUGGAAUGUGGGUGACACGCUCAGACAGGGAGGUCAGCCAACACUUCCUACAGGAGGUGCAGGUGGGACAGAAGUGGGAGAAAAGGAGAAGUGUGACUUUCUCUUAGGAUCGGCGAAAGAACUUGCGUAACUCUGGAGCUCUGAGUUCAGCGAAAAUGCAGGGCCUGUUGUUUACAAAUGAAAAAUUCCAAGAAUAGAGUUUGAGUGCUGGGUCCUUCGGGUUGCAGGAGUCUGCGUGCUGCGCAGGUGAGGAAACCCAGGGAUGCCAAUGCCAGGGAAACCGGUCCUCCUGCUGCCCUUCAGCGUGGCUUGAAUGCUCUUCAGCAUCCCUAAGGUCCCAAACAAAAGCUGGAUACAGAGAGUUGUGUGAGUCUGUGCCAGAUCCCUCUGCCUCACUGAAUGACAGCACUAGGGGAUUUCCACUGCGGUCCCGCGAUGGUCCCAUGAAUGCACUUCUUCCUAGUUCACCCUAUCUCCUCACUUGGCCUACACUGUAAUUCUUAGAGAAUCAAAAAGAAGAUGAAAGAAAAAGAAGAAGUGAAAGUGAUUAAUGAUCCCUUUCAACAGGAAUUUAGUCUUCUACUUUGUAAUGUUGGGAGCCAAAGAGUAACAACCUCUUAAAAUUUCCCCAGUCAGAUGAGCCUCAUGUGCUGGCAGUUCCAUAAUAAAG
rnacentral:lncRNA from 1 species